rnacentral:rRNA from 1 species
UACGUAGGGUGCGAGCGUUAAUCGGAAUUACUGGGCGUAAAGCGUGCGCAGGCGGUGAUUUAAGUCAGAUGUGAAAUCCCCGGGCUUAACCUGGGAAUUGCGCUUGAAACUAGCGGGCUUGAGUGUGGCAGAGGGGGGUGGAAUUCCACGUGUAGCAGUGAAAUGCGUAGAGAUGUGGAGGAACACCGAUGGCGAAGGCAGCCCCCUGGGUCAACACUGACGCUCAUGCACGAAAGCGUGGGGAGCAAACAGG